rnacentral:piRNA from 1 species
UCCGGCUGGUGUCAAUAAUGCUUUGGGCUC